rnacentral:rRNA from 1 species
AUUGAACGCUGGCGGCAUGCCUUACACAUGCAAGUCGAACGGUAACGCGGGGCAACCUGGCGACGAGUGGCGAACGGGUGAGUAAUAUAUCGGAACGUGCCCAGUAGUGGGGGAUAGCCCGGCGAAAGCCGGAUUAAUACCGCAUACGACCUACGGGUGAAAGCGGGGGAUCGCAAGACCUCGCGCUAUUGGAGCGGCCGAUAUCAGAUUAGGUAGUUGGUGGGGUAAAGGCCUACCAAGCCUACGAUCUGUAGCUGGUCUGAGAGGACGACCAGCCACACUGGGACUGAGACACGGCCCAGACUCCUACGGAGGCAGCAGUGGGGAAUUUUGGACAAUGGGCGCAAGCCUGAUCCAGCCAUGCCGCGUGCGGGAAGAAGGCCUCGGUUGUAACG